UACGUAGGGCGCAAGCGUUGUCCGGAAUUAUUGGGCGUAAAGAGUUCGUAGGCGGUCUGUCGCGUCCGUUGUGAAAGCCCAGGGCUCAACCCUGGGUCUGCAGUGGAUACGGGCAGACUAGAGUCAGGUAGGGGAGAACGGAAUUCCUGGUGUAGCGGUGAAAUGCGCAGAUAUCAAGUGGAACACCAGUGGCGAAGGCGAGUCCCUGGAAAACUCCUGACACUGAGGCACGAAAGCUAGGGGAGCAAACAGG
rnacentral:rRNA from 1 species